rnacentral:rRNA from 1 species
GUCCACGCCGUAAACGAUGGGUGCUAGGUGUCGCGGGCUUUGACCCCUGCGGUGCCGUAGCUAACGCAUUAAGCACCCCGCCCUGGGGAGGUACGGCCGCAAGGCUAAAACUACAAAGGAAUUGACGGGGGCCCGGCACAAGCGGUGGAGCAUGUGGUUCAAUUCGACGCAACGCGCAGAACCUUACCUGGGCUAGAAAAUGCAAGAACCUGGUUGAAAGAUCGGGGUGCUCUUCGGAGAGCUUGUAGUUAGGUGCUGCAUGGCUGUCGU